UGAUCUAUUGAUCAACCAUAGAUAGGUUUGAAACAUUGAAGAUUUAAUCAACUCUAAACAACCAUGGUCAUGAUCUAAUAGACCUCAUCAACCAAACAAAUACAACAACAAGUCCAUAAUAAAAGAAAAUGAUAACACACACAAAGCAACCACAAAAAGGUGAAAAAGAUAGUAAGAGUAAAAAAUCUUUAAAAAGGUGAGUAAACCAAAGUCAAUCAUUUUUGGCAAAGCUUUGAGUAUUAAACCAUCUCAAAAGACCAACCAAGAACAAGCAACCAUUUUUAAUCAAAAAAAAGAAACAAAAAGUUAAAAAGUUUAAGUUAAAAUCAUUACCCACAAAAUGUGAAAAAAGCUAGGUAGAAAUGGUGUUGAACUUGAAUGUGAAGCAAGGGGUAUGGGAUGAAAAUAUUUGUGGUGAAAGCUUAGUAAAGGGGUUGGGUUAUGAGUGUUAGAGAGUGAUAAAUUUUGAGGAAAAAAUGUGAAAUGGAAAAAAAAGUUGGUGGUGGUGAGUUUUGGGAGGGAAAAGGUUUUUUUGGUUUUGAUUUAGGUUUGGAGAAGAGGGGUUGGAUGAUAUUUUUUCAGAAUUUUUAGGGGCUAGAAAGCAUGAAAAAUGAAGGGGGAAUAGUGCAUCUAUUUAUAGGGAAAGCAAGUGAGAAAAUGGGGGGAACCAAAUACCCAAAAAAAGCUUAUUUUUGGAGUCUGCACAGGGCAAAUCGAUUUCCCUAGUUAGGUAAAUCGAUUUCCCUAUUUUUUUUUAAAUUUAUUCCUUUAGCCCAUGUAAUAUGCCUUUGGUUAUGAAAGUUCAAUGAAAUUAUGAUGAUGAAAUAAUGAAAGCACACAUGUGCAGUAGGGCCAUGGAUCAGAUGAAAGUUGUAUCGGAGUAGGGUGAAUUUUGGGGUAUGACAGCUGCCCCUAUUUAAUCUUCUCGAACCUAAAUGUUUAGAUAGCAACGACUUCCAUACAUCGAAAGUAAGAGAGGAUUAAAUAAAUAAAAAUAUCCAGAAAUUUACCCUACUGGGAAUGAAAUGAAUGUGAUAUGAAGUGAUGGGUAUUUGUGAAGAUUGUUCAUGCGAUGGAAAAUAAAUUUGAUAUGAAAUUAUCUAUUGAGGAUAGUUUAUGGUAUUAUGUGGGGAGGACACGGGUCGGCUGUAUGAUGGUUAUGUCAUGAUGCGUAUGAUAUGCAAUGUAUGUUAUGGUGUGUAACAUAAGUAUCUCUUCAACUGGAAAACAAAGAGAAAAGCUUCAUGACAAAAGGUCAAGAAGAAAGAUGAGAGGGAAUAUGACUUCGUUGGGGAUAAAGGAAAACAAAGAGAAAAGCUUCAUGACAAAAGGUCAAGAAGAAAGAUGAGAGGGAAUAUGACUUCGUUGGGGAUAAGUUUCUUAUGUAAAAGAUAGUGAAAAUCCCUAACAACGGCUGAGAAGAUUUAAGUUCAGUGACGCUUCCUAGCAACAGCUGGAAUACCUGAAAUCUAAAGAUAUAAAUCCCUAACAACGGUUUGGGAGAUUUGAUUUUUGAAAGUGUCAAUCCCUAGCAAUGGCUGGGAAGAUUUGAAUUUGAAAAGUAUCAAUCCCUAGCAACGGCUGGGAAGGUUUGAGUUUGAAAAGUGUCAAUCCCUAGCAACGGCUGGGAAGGUUUGACUUUUGAAAGUGUUCAAAAGGCACAAGAGUACUUGUAAAAGGCAGGUGAAUAGAUAUGGUGGUUAUCAUACACAAGGUAGAGGAAAAUUUACGGUAGGCACGAAAAACUCAUUAUAUCCCUCAGGCACAACGGCAGGGAUGACAUUUUCGAAAUAUGGCUACCACUUGGGACUUGUCAAACCUACAUCAGGUGUUUUAAGACAAACGUUUAAGAGAAUAGGUCAAUCGUCCAAUCUCUCAUUUUUGGGUAACAUGCAAAGUUGAUAAAGGUAAACUCUCUCGUGCAAAAGGCAACAAGGAGGCUUGCAAAAAAGGCAAAACAGGGUUUUCCCUUGCAAAAAAGCAGAGGGGUCUCGCAAAAGGUGAGGUACUGAAAAAAGGGCCAACAAUAUUUGCAAAAGGCAAAUAAAAAGAGAUAUUUUGGGGAAACCUGUUGGGGUUGUUCACGGGGACCCCUUGCACUUUCGAGAAAGGCUUGAAUCCAACUUAUGCUAAACAUACUUGCCCCAAUAUGAAGAGUAUGUUAUGAUGCAAUGUUAUGCAUGUAAAAUGUCGAUGUAUGCAAAAAGUCGGUGUCUUCGUCAAAGGAUUGACGGAAAGGUAAUUUGUCUUCGUCAAAGGAUUGACGGGAAAGAAUUUGUCUUCGUCAAAGGAUUGACAGAAAAGAAUUUGUCUUCGUCAAAGGGUUGACGGAAAAGAAUUUGUCUUCGUCAAAGGGUUGACGGAAAAGAAUUUGUCAUCGUCAAAGGGUUGAUGGAAAAGAAUUUGUCUUCGUCAAAGGGUUGACGGAAAAGAAUUUGUCUUUGUCAAAGGUUGACAGAAAGCUAAUUUGUCUUCGUCAAAGGGUUGACGGAAAGGUAAUUUAUCUUCGUCAAAGGGUUGACGGAAAGAAACUGUUGUAAAAUGUCGUCAUCAGAGGGCUGAGGAAAAAAGUUUGUCAUCGUCAAAGGGUUGACGGAAAAGGUAAUUUGUCUUCGUCAAAGGGUUGACGGAAAGGUAAUUUGUCUUUGUCAAAGGGUUGACGGAAAGGUAAUUUGUCUUUGUCAAAGGGUUGACAGAAAAGAAUUUGUCUUUGUCAAAGGGUUGACUGAAAAGAAUUUGUCUUCGUCAAAGGAUUGACGGAAAGGGACUUUACUAUGAAGUGGCAUCAUCAAAGGGUUGAUGGGAAGGAUUUAUUAUGUUAUGUAUGCAUAUGGUGCAUGUUAAUGAGAAUUUCUCAUUUUUGUGAGAGAGCUUUUUGAUAUGCAACUCCCUUAUUUGGAAGGAAAGUCAUGUGUGUUUAAUGUAUGCAGUGCAUGUGGUAAUGCAAGAUGAAUAUUGAUUGUCUUUGGAUUGAUCUCUCUUUUUGAAGGUGAGAUUUUUUGGGUACCAAAUGUCGGUUGAAUUUGAGUUUAUGAAGAUGCCAGCGAAGUGGGCUUUUAUUUCUAGUGAUGGCUAAUAUGGAGUGGGCUUUCGGUUUUGGAGAUGCCAAUAGCGAUUGGGCUUUAUGGUCAAUGAUUCUCUAAACAAAAACCCCCACGGUUAUUGCUUUAGGCUUUAUGGUUAAUGAUAGAGAUUUGUUUUGGGAGGUGCCAAUAACGAUUGCGCUUUAUGGUUAAUGGUAGAGAUUUAUUUUGGGAGGUGUCAAUAACGAUUGGGCUUUAUAGAGAUUUGUUUUGGGAGGUGCCAAUAGAGAUUGGGCUUUAUUUUUGGAAGGCAUCAAGUGAGGCUUGGCUUCAUUAUCCUUGUUGGGGAAGGGCUUCAUGUUAUACAUGAUGCAUGAUAUGUAUGAGCGAAGCGACAGGGUUGGUGCAUAGUGAUUGAUGCAAUUGUUUUGGAUAGUUCAACAAAUGUCCUUGAGGUGGGUCAAGAAUGGUUGAAACUGGGAAAUAUUUUUGCUUAGCUUUAAGGCUCGUUGUUGACAAGUUAUGGGAUGAUGUGUUUACACAACUUCCCGACAUUUUCUUUGAACUUGGCUGAUGUAGUGAGCUUGGUCUGGAUAUUCUGAUACCACAUGCUUGAUCUGAGCAAGAAAAUCCAAAAUAUAAGGAAACGUUUCCUCUCCAUGGCCAGUCCUUCCCCAAUCUGUUAGGUAUCUACAUGGAUUUCCCCAGUUACAAGUUAUGAAGCAAAUCAUGGGUAGAGUGAUCUUGAUCUGAUACGCCCCAGCGUCUUGGGUCUGCCUACCCCUAUUCAUCCAUCUCUUGGAGUGUUUUGACUUUCUCAUGCUUUUGAGGUGGUCUUCCCUGGUAUGAAACCUUGAAUUGAUUUUUCCCCUGACUGGUUGAUUUUUGAGGGAAUGCCCCUGGCCAACUGCCUUUGGAGAGAUUUGCCUAAUCUCGACGUGAUUGCCCCAAACUGACUAGAUCUUGAAGUGGCUUGCUCAACGGAGUUCUCAGAUACCUUUCCCUCCUUGGUGAGAUCAAUCUAAGGGGAUGAUCUUUGCUCAUCUGAGUCCUCAUGAAUUUUGCCUCUUUUGGGUGACCAAAACUUCUCGAGUCAUGUUCAUUAUGAAAACGCUUUUGAUGUCAAUGCCCAUUCACAAGUAAAACUAUUUAUGCUAAUGUUAUGUUUAUGGUAGUUUUAGAAAUCCAAGUAUGUCCACUGAAAAGAUGACAUAUAGUGAAUGGAUCACUAGUUACAAAAGUCAUACUGAUACUUAGCAAAACGAAAAGGAGUCAGUUUCAACACAAGCUCUAAUGCAAUAUGCUUUCGAAAUGGACCUUGCUUCAAUUAGGUCUUUUGAGGGUUGUAAUGUGGGAUGGUUCAUGGUUUAAGAAACAAAGGAUUUAUAGCUCAAAGAUUUAUUUAUCCCACCCAUUCUUCUUGAUACCCUUCAGUCCUACAUUCAACUAGUUUGACACAGAUGUCUGUCUCUUAGAAUGAUGGGAGUGGUAGUAAGAGAACCCACAAGGUUUUGGGAGUGACAGUCACUUGCCUUCCUAUUUUUGUGUUUGCAGUCACACGACUUUGUUCUGGCUGAGGAUUUUUGUUUUUGAUUCCUCUUCUGCUUUUUUUGUUUUUCGACUUCCCUAAUUUUGCCUGGACUAUUUUUUUUUUCUUACAGUCCAUCAGGAUACCCUAAUUUUUGCCUAAGCCACUUGUUUUCAAGUUUCGACUUAGCGGGAUUUUUCUCUCUCUUUGAGUUUUUUUUGGAACAAAUCGUGUGACGUUUGUUUAUUUGGUUUUAAAGGAUUUGUGACUGUCUCACUUUUUGUGUUGGCGAGGGACAACCAUUGGAUUUGUGAUUUUGACCUCUCGUGAGGGAAACUAUGUGGUUAUCCUUUAGACAAGACACUCCCUAGGAUGUGGUUGAUACUCAAAUGGGAUACUCCCUAUUUUUUCUUUUUAAGAAUUGAACGUGUGGUUAAAUUAGCUGAAGACUACCCUGCCCCGGGUUUAAGAUGUGAGUUUUUUUUUUGCUUUAAAGAAAACUCCUACUUCUAGGCUCAAAGGGGUUGACUAGGGAUUAUCAUCCUUAUACCUCCACUGUUUGGGGAUUUGAAGCAAUGCCUUACAUCAUCAGCAAGGUGUUUAUUCAAAAGCAGUACAUUGCAAUGAGGAUUUGUACCUGUAAUAUUCAUCAUUCUCCCUCUAAAGUUUCGUUUAUUAACAAAAGUAAGAUAAGAGUGAACAAAUUGUAUUGACUGAAACAUGCCAAUAUUAUUCAUUGUUGCAAAGAGACAAUUUUUAAGAGUGAAUAUUACAGACAAGCAAAGAAAGUUCCACAUGAAAAAACAAAUGAAAUGAUCACAUAAUUGUUGGCGUGUUAGCCUUGUUUUCAACCGUAGACCGGUGUCGAUCGAUGCUUGUAGAACUUAGGUAUGAUAGUCCCACAAGGACGGUUUAUUUUCAACUUCUUGUUCCUCAUCCAUUAGCAACUGGUAGUUGGCAUUGCAGAAGUGCCUUCACGUGGCAGCAUGAAGUUGCUUAGUAUAUCCAUGUCCGUUUGGUUGAACGCAGUAGCCUUUGAAAUGAAUCAGUUCUGAAACCUUUGUUUGAAGGCCUUACAAAUCUCGAUCGAGUGUCCGGUGCCUCCUGAGUGGAACUCACACCUAGCAUUCAUGUCGUAGUUCAAGGGAAGAGAUGUUGGAGGAGGUCCUAGUACCCUUAACUUCACCAAUGAUCUGUUGAGCAAAAGAGGGAGAAUUCGACCAUACGACAUGGGAAUCAGGUCAAACUGUUUUUCUGACCUCUUUGAUUUUCUCUGGCCUUUUUUAGCAUAAGAGUUUUGCCUUCCACUUGAGUACCAAUUCUGAUUCUGCAUUUGGUUCCCCAGAGCUAGCUAAGGAAUAAACACUGGUUGUUGAUUAAGAAACCUUAGCAGUUCGGGUUGGGGACGGUAUCCCUGAGGCAACUCAUGAUGUAAGGUGGAGCCGGACAGAGGCAUAUGGGAGACCAUUUCCAUCCUGGAGGUUGGUGUGGGAUUUCCUUCCUUUUUCAAUAGUGUUUGCAAGAUUUCUGUAACCAAGCUCAUCUGAGUCUUUAGUUGGCUGAUCUCUUCCUUCAAUGCAGCUUGGCCUUGUUGGAGUUCUUCCACAAUGGCUUGAGACAUGCUUCUAGUUCUAAGCAUACAUCGGGAAAUCAGCUAGUGGGGUAAAAACAGAAGGUGGUAUAAGGUUUUUCUUAUGAGAUGCAAAUGAUGCAUGAAUGCGAUGUUUAUUUAUGAAUGAAUGGGUGAGAAGAUUUCCACAGGUUUUUAGGAAUGGGUUCAAGGUUUUGGACCAUCGUGACGAAGCAUGGAGUUAAUAAUGAAUGCUUAGUAAACCAAGGUUCUCGCUUUGUGUGAUCUAAGGCUUUUGGAAAAUUGGGUGUAAGACACUGCCCUUAGAGUCAUGGACUUCCUUGACUGUCAGUCGCUUAUGUCAAUUUACUUGCCAGGCGACUGCUCCAUCAAAGUCAUCUACUCUAAGUGAGAUCUUCGUAUCGACUCUUACAAGGAAGGCACCUCGGUGGCCUAUACUACGUGACCAUCGGUCUAGGCUAGCCAUAGUUUUAAAAGGUUCUAAAAGGGGUCUUAGGGUCAUUGACUCUAGUAAAAUAAAAGAUGCUUACGCCGAAAGCACGACGAUCAUCAAUCCCCUUAAGAGAAUCUACCACUAAGUGAGGUUCUCGUACGACCCUAACGAGGAAGGAACCUCGCGGAUCAAUACUACUCAACCUCUCAUAUCUCAAGCAAGCUCUCAGACUCGGGUGGAGAGUCCUUCACACAAGGUUUUUUCCUUUGCAAUCAUUAUUGCUUCCAAAAAUUCUUCGCCACAGAACCAGAGUUUCGGACCAACAGGCAAACAAAGAAAAUACGCACAGGUUAGCAAAGAAAGCAAUAUAUACAUAAAAAAUAGAUAACAAAUAAAUCUCCACGUACGUAAAAGAGGAACAACCCAAACUAGGCUAGACUUGCUUAGGGAAUUUUGGUCUCCCCAGCAGAGUCGCCAGUUGUUGCUACCGGGAUUUCACGAUAACGAAAUCGGGACUAAAGAUAAUGCCAAAGGGAGGCAAAGUCAGAAGAGUCGCCACCGAAUUUUAUUUAGUUUACCUCUAUCAGAGAGGAGAGGGGAAAUAGUCUAUAAAACCCUCGGAAAAGAGACGCGCACGGGAAGCGCUAAAAGAGAAUAAGGAAUCGGUCUCGCAACCGAGAUUUGGGUUCGGAAGUCGGUUACGUAAGAGGAAGGUAUUAGCACCCCUUACGUCCAUGGUACUCCAUGGGAACCAUUUGGGUUGUUUUUAAAUACAUGGGAUUUAUCUAUUAUUAUUUUAUUUUCAAAUGAAUGUGUGAAAAGAGGGGGCGUUUUUGUUAUUAUAGUGCUCGCCAAGGAUUGAGGCCCUUGUGCCUACGUAUCACUCAUUUGGGGAUGAGGAAUCAGAGCUCCAUAGUUCGGAGUAGAAAAUGUUUGUGUGUUGGUUGAUUUUACCUUUGAAAAAAGGGUUUUCGGGAUGAUGCCCUAAGGCACAAAAAUGAGAUUGAUGAGUUGCAUUAUUUUUACCUUGAAUAAGGGUUUUAUGAAAUGAGUGUUUGUGAUUAUAUUGUACUAAAGUCUAUGGGCGGAGGUGAUUAUUCUAGACAACAAGCCAAGUGUCUUGCGUCCAAAAUAAUCAGAGUAAAGGUAGGAAUGCUUCAUUCUCACUCAUUAUCCACCACUUAAGGCUCAUGGCGAACAAUAAUAAUCGUAAUUAUUAAGUAUUUUUGAGUUUGGCUAAGAAAAUGCCACUUGACGUUGAAUCAAGGGUUUAUUUUAUUUUGAUUAUGCAAUUUGACUUAUGCAACAUGAAUGCAAAGUAACCAACAGGAAAUUAAAGAGUCUCAUUGUAAGGUAGCCCAAGAGAAAGCCUUUUGUGUGCAAAAGUGAUCUAAGCUAAACAAAGGACAAUGGUCUUACAAACAUGUCCCCCUAAGGUGGUGCCAUGAUGCCAUUCUUACAACAUGAAUGUAAGUUUCAAAUAAAAUCCAACAUUUACAAAGUAUCACAAAGAUAAGGGAAAGACCUCCAAGCAAGGGUCCUAAAAUGAAAUCCUCUAAGUUCCAGUUGGAUAGAGUGGAAUAAAUAUUUUUGUUCUUAUUCAUUUUAGGUCAUGUUUUUGUUGUUUUUCAAGGUAUUUGAUGAUAAUAAAAUUAAUAAUAAGUAAAUAAACAUGCAUGAUGGAAUUUGUACAAUGGUGAGUGAGAGUACUUUAAUGUAAAAUUACAAGGUAGAUGACAUAAAGUAAAUUACAGAUAAGAAACAAUAUUCACAACUAAUAAUGGUUAUGUGAAUAUAAAUGAUAUAAACAAAUAUAAGUCAAUAAUACCAAAUCACAAUACCAAAGUUAAUGAUAAACAAAAAUUAAUGAAGUAUAAUUAGUGGUUAGUAACAUGUUACAGAAAUGAAUAUUUUUUAAGACUAUUUUCUUAGGCCAAAAAGACUUAAAAUCAGGACACAUUAAGGAUUUAGCUUAUCAUUGUGUGCAAGUACUUGAGUUGAUUAAAAAUCAACUAACAAUAGAUUUGUAAGCAAGAGAAAGGUAUGCAAACCUUAAGUCCAUCUAUAAUAAUUUUAAAAAAAGUGAUUUCUGUUCUCUUUCUUUUGAUUUUAUUCCUCUUUUAUUUAACAAGGAUAAUAAGCGUAGUAAUAAAUUAGCAUAAUGUAAAGGUAUGUUAAAUAACAAUAAACAUUGAAACAUGAAAAAUACUGGAAAUAAAGUGAACAAUAAAUAAAUUGCACAAAAUAAAUGCCAAUAAUAUAAAUGUUUAGAAGUUAGUAGGUUAGGUGAAUAAACAUAAGUAAAUGAAAUAAAAUGAACAAUAAAUAAAUUGUAAAAAAUAAAAUAAAGUGCAAAAUAUAAAUUGUUAGGAGUUAGUAAUUAGGUAUUUAUUAACAAUAAGCAAAUGUAUUAGCAAUUAACUGUAAAGACCACUGUUUCAUCUAUACUUCAAAUGACGCCAAAUAUGGUUAAAUAGAGGCAAUAUAUAAAUGCCUCAAAGUGUCAUGAAUGCAUCUAUUGAAUCACCAUAGAUAGGUUUGAAACAUUGAAGAUUUAAUCAACUCUAAACAACCAUGGUCAUGAUCUAAUAGACCUCAUCAACCAAACAAAUACAACAACAAGUCCAUAAUAAAAGAAAAUGAUAACACACAUAAAGCAACCACAAAAAGGUGAAAAAAGAUAGUAAGAGUAAAAAAUCUUUAAAAAAGGUGAGUAAACCAAAGUCAAUCAUUUUUUGCAAGCUUGAAUCUAAACCAUCUAAAAAGACCAAGAACAAGCAACCAUUUUUAAUCAAAAAAAAGAAACAAAAAGUUAAAAAGUUUAAGUUAAAAUCAUUACCCACAAAAUGUGAAAAAAAAACUAGGUAGAAAUGGUGUUGAGCUUGAAUGUGAAGCAAGGGGUUUGGGAUGAAAAUAUUUGUGGUGAAAGCUUAGUAAAGGGGUUGGGUUAUGAGUGUUAGAGAGUGAUAAAUUUUG
rnacentral:lncRNA from 1 species